CGCACAGUGCUUCCAAACCGGCUGCUAACUGGGUGGGAAUUUGCAAUCUUUGUUUCCCCCUCCUCCAACCUCCCCAGCUGCAGGCAGAUGUGAUUUUGAACUCUCUCUCCCCCUCUUUCUUUACUUUCCCCUCCUCCCUCCUCUACAGAGAGAGAUUUCUUUUUUAUGCUUCUCUCCCUCGAUUGCAAGACUCAAGAAGUCUUUUCUACCUUGGGAGAAGAGUAAGCUGGGCCUGAAGAGGUGAAGUAAUUCAGGGAGUGCCCAGGCCAUCCCAGUUGAGUUUCCGUGAUAACCAUGAAAGCUAAAGAGCUUUGCCACUCUGCAUCUAAGGUGUCAUCAAUGAUCCUGACCGCCAAAGAAGGUUCUCUGAGGAAGUGGGUAUCUGCCACCUUCCACUUUCCUAAAGUGACCCCCUGAGGAUUCUCAGCAGCCAGACUAAGCUAAGAUGCUCCUCUGAAGCACCAGCUUCUUCUGUUUGUUUUGGUUUCUUCUUGCUGUGUAUGGGGAUUUGGGAGUUUGGUUUU